GUGCGUUAAAGCACUGAGCUGGAGACCGAAAGGUCCCAGGUUCAAACCCCGGGAGCGGUGGGAGCGGCCGCUGUUAGCUCCAGCUCCUGCCAACCUAGCAGUUCGAAAACAUGCCAACGUGAGUAGAUCAAUAGGUACCGCUCCGGCGGGAAGGUAACAGCGCUCCAUGCAGUCAUGCCAGUGGCCACAUGACCUUGGAGGUGUCUACGGACAAUGCCGGCUCUUCGGCUUAGAAAUGGAGAUCAGCACCAACCCCCAGAGUCAGACAUGACUGGACCUAACAUCAGGGGAAAACCUUUACUUUACCUUAAACCUGGCUUUCAUAUCUCCUUCUAUCCUUCUCAAAAUUAAACAGAAUAGAAUCAUAGAGUUGGAAGAGACCACAGGGAGCAUCCGGUCCAAUGUCAUCCUGUCAUUCUGCAAAAUCAAAGCACCUCUGACAGAUGAACAUCCAACCUUGGUUUAAAAGCCCCCAAGAAAGAAGUUUUCGCCACACUCCAAGACAGAGUCCCACUUGUUGGGCAUCUCCACCUCUCUGCCGAAUUAAUUUAAUAGAAAAGGCAUUUUCACUUCUAACUCCAUUUGCCGCAACUGGAAUAAACUCAGGACCAGUGGGGAAGACGAGGGGAAGAGAGAAACCAGGACACUUUAAAAGCAGCCGAGAAAGUGGGAUGGCAGAGGAGGAAUAGGAACUGUCAGUAUUUGGAAGCUCCUGGAAUAAAAGCAAGCUCACAAAGGCAAAUCCUUGGAUACAGCUUGAUUUCAGUCUUACCAUUGGCAAUAGAAAGACAACUCUGAAGAGUUCCCGCGAAUUCAGUAUAGUAUAUUAUUCUGCUAACCCAUGCCCCCUCCCACUAGCUACAUUCCAUUCCCACCAGCAUUAUCCUACAAUUUCGUUAUUCCCCAGUCCAGAUGGCCCUUAUCUCAUAUAUGCUCCCAUCCAUUCUCCCAGCCUUCCUCUCUCCACAACCAUAUCACAGGGUAGACGGAGCAACUUGUUCUAAGCUGGUACGGACAUCCUGACAGGGACAACUUUCUGCCAAAUUGGGAGAGUUGAAGGACACGCAAUAACCUUAGUUAGAACUAGAGUUUAUGUUUGAUAAUAAAAACACCAUUAUCAAAGAAGAACUAGAAUUUAAAUAGAAUCUCAUUUAAUGAGUAGAAUAAAAAGGCAUAUGUCAAAUACUGAAAACAAGAGCGAACAGGAAAUGCGGAUUUCGUCAUCAUGCACCAUUGGAUCUCUUACAAGAUACUGAUCCUGACAUUUAGAGCUCGAAAUGGCCAAGGACCAUUAUAUCUCAGGAACUGCCUCAUUCCUUUUUUCCAUCAGUGGUCACCUCGAUCCUCCCAGGAAAAUCUCCCAUAUGUACCGGGCCCUAGGGAGAUACGCCUGGAAGCUACAAGGCACAGAGCCUUUUCGGCCGAUGCUCCAAUUCUGUGGAACUCAUGGCCUCCAUAUGUUAGAGCAAUGUCGGAGUUGCAACCUUUUGUAAAAGCACUCAAGACUUGGCUGUUUGAUUGUGCGUUUAAGUAAAUCAGAUCUAAUUUGCCAAAUAGUCACUGUUGAAUGUUUUUAGGUUGAAUGUUUUUUAUGUUGAAUGUUUUUUAUAUUGUGGAAUGAUAUUUUAAAUUGUAAGUCGCUCGGAGCACUCUGGUGGAGAGCGACUAAUUAAGAAAUAAAGUGAAGUGAAGUGAACUACAAAUCUUGAACUGGACUUUUGGGAGCAGAAGAGGAUCUGACUUGCGCAGAAAAAAAGGCAGAGGAAUUUAUUAUUGAAUCUCCUUCAAAGUCUCGGCCUGUACCAAGGUCCAAUUCUUUCCAUAUUUUGGGGGUUUAUUUAAAGUCCUUCAAAGAAAGUGACUCAACUGGAUUCUCAGGCUGCCGUACAUCCCAUGGCUGAACAGCUCUUACUGUAAGGUAGUUCUUAUUAAUUGAAUCAUGUCCACUGGCACUGAGAACAAAGCAUGCAAAAACAGAGACACAUGAAGACACACCAGAAUGACUGGUUUGAGUGUUGGAUGGGACUCGCAUCGCUUGGCCAUGGAAAAUGACUUGUUGUCUUUGGGCAAGUAACUCUCUCAGCAACACAGAAAGGCAGGAUUCUCUAGCACUGAGCAAUGGCAGUUAAAAGUGGUGUCAAAUUGUGGUAGGUCUGUGUUGUAUAUCUGUCCAAAAAGUCUGGAUUCCUCCAAGGCGGAUUUAAGAAAUAAUAGAGAGCAAACUAAAGAAGGUGUUUUUGAAGACAUUGUCUCAUUCUCUUUGUGCCUGGUUUUUGUAAAACCCUGAUGGAGAAAAGACACGCCUUGUAAUCUGGGUUACAGACAGGUGCUUAUAGAUUCACAUCAAAAUCCUUUCCAAGCAAGAGCUUAUAAACAUGUUUUGCUCGCUUGCCCUCACUACAGAUACAAGACUUAUCUCAUGAGGAAAAUAGGCCUCAGAUGUCAAAAGAGUAUGGGAAGAAGUGGGAGAGAUUUGUACAACGCAGAAAAUCCCAGCCGCUCCAACAUGCUUCUGCCAACUUUUUACCCAAAACGAGGACAGUAUGUAUUUGAAACGAAAAAAGAAAGGAUUUGAAACAAAACAAGAAAGGAUACGCAUCCCUUAUCCGGAAAUCAGAAAUGGUCUCCCUGGCUACCUCAGAGUGAGGCCUUUGCUUUCUGAUGCCUCAAUGUACUCAAACUUUGUUUUGUGAACAAAAUGAUGAAAAAAAUAAGGAACUUCAGGCCAUGUUUAUAGGAUCUCCAAGAUCAGGUUGUACAUAUGUCUGUGCAUAUAUAGGUGUGUCGAAAUCCGGCACAAUGUCCUGUGGGCGAUGCCACGUUUGUCAGAGCUGUGGGGCCAAUGAGAGUUUUGCCGGAGGAGAGCAGAUGGCAGGGCAGGGCUGGCAAGUCUCUCCUCGCCAAGUGCCAUCUGGCUUCAGCCGGCCCUCUGGGAGAGUUUGAAAACAGGGCCUUUUGUCCUCCUCCUGUUUUCUAGGCUCUGCUCUUUUCAGACUCCCAAUUAGCCUCUUUCUUGCAUAUGGUGGCAAGAGGGGACUGAGACAACAAGGGAGGAAAUCCGGAGCAAAACCAAAAAGAAACCUCUCACCAACCAGCUGGCGCCCCUGAUAUAACACCAUUUUAACCAUGGCUGAGUCACCACUGUGAAUGGGAGAAUGAGAUUAAGAUACAUUGAGAUGAACACUCAAUUUUCCCUUCUGAAAAGGGGGAGAACAGAAAUGAAUUAGGACAUCUAUGAAGGAAACUGGGCUUGAUCCUAAAGUGUACAGGGAAACAUGGUAACAACUUCUGCACAUUGAUAGCAAAAAAGUAACUGUUUCCAGCUGAGUGAUGUUGGUCCUUCUCGCAAUGACUUGAAAGCACCUUCCAAGAUGCAUCCAGAGACUAUUGUGUUUCUUUCACCAAUCUCUUGUUGCUUUGAGAUCUGCCUUGGGUCACAGCAUUGGGAGACUGGCAAAAAAUACAUUAAAGUAAUGGUUUGAAAAUAAUGCUGCUUCACCAUCUUUCCCUCAUGAAGGGAAGACAAUCCACACUGUCUGAACAAUAGUAGUAGUAUCCAUGUGGAUCUUCGUUCUGGCUUUUAAAAACACAGCAACUGCUUUGUCAUCUAAAAGAGAAGCAAGCAGAUACCCAUUCACCGCACAAUCCAGAAGAAAUAAAAACUGAUGAUGGCUGGGAUUCUGUUUGAAAGCAGAAACUGAAGCCGUAAGUUAUUCUCAGGAAAAGAUACACACAUAUGCAUGUUUAAAUUAAAGGAGAACCGUUCUCUUUCCAGCCCUGGCUGAGGCCCAAGAGUGAGUUCACGUUUGAGGAAUGCCGUCUCCCGCUGUCUGUUUAGAAAGGCUUUUUCCCCGGAGACUCAACGGCCCCAUUCACGGCAUUUGCGUUGCGCCAACAUGGCGACACAUCUAACAAACCCAGUGGUCCUUCAUUCACUUCUGAGGAAAUGAAGCCGGUGGAAACAAGAAAAAAGACCUCUCUUCAAAAGUCCAUCCAGGGUGACAGGUCGGGAAGGACCUUAAAGUGACAUUUGGUGCUGUACAAGUCCAUUAAAACUUCAAUAUCCUUUUUGAAACCUUCCAAUAUGGUCCUUUGUAGAUGAAUUUAGUCAAGAUGGUAACUCUCAUCAUCUGCAGUUAGUUUGGACGGAUGGAAACUGUUGACCAAGACCCUCAGAGGACACAUUUAAGGUGCCAUAAAGAUGAAGUGCUUUUGAAUGUGGAGUUAAGACUCCACAACUACCAUUAAGAGCAUCUAUUACAUUUAUGUGCUUUACAGGGUGAAAAGGCAUCAUUUAUAUAAAAAAGAAAGUGAAGAAAUAUAAGUUUUGGCCCAUUUUAACAAGUUGGAGAUUCUAACGGGUUUUUUUCCUGUGUCAGGAGCGACUUGAGAAACUGCAAGUCGCUUCUGGUGUGAGGACGCUGCCCAGGGGACGCCCGGAUGUUUUACCAUCCUUGUGGGAGGCUUCUCUCAUGUCCCCGCAUGGAGCUGGAGCUGAUAGAGGGAGCUCAUCCACGCUCUCCCCGGGUGGGAUUCGAACCUGGCAGCCUUCAGGUCAGCAACCCAACCUUCAAGUUUCAAGGGGGUGGUUUUUCAGGGGCUUUCCAUAAAAAGGGAACCCACAAUGGACUUUCAGUUUCCCUACUUGGAAUAUAUCCCCAAGGCCACAAGGUUGUAAAAGGGAGACUAUUUAAAUGCAAGUGGUAAAUCCCAGGUUAUUAUUAGAAAGCAGAAUUAUAACAGAAUGGAAUGCAAUGCCAAGGGCUAUGGGUGGUGGUUUCCAAAAGAGACAAAUUUGAGGAUAGGGCUAUCUACUGUCAUUGAAGACCAACUCCAGAGAUUCUGAACAAAUUGUUGUGGCAAGAAAACUCAACGAUACCGUUUCUCAUGGUCAACUUGAAGACACACAACACAGCAGAGAACAAUGGAAAAUGGCUGCCGCCUUCAUAGACUUCCAGUGAUCUUUAUAGCUGGUCGCAGUUAGGAAUGAGAUACUGGAUGUGUCGCCCGCCUUUUUAUUUCUUUCAACUGCUUCUUGGCAGGGGGUUAGACUGGAUGGCCCAUGAGGUCUCUUCCAACUCUUAUCAUUCUAUGAUCCUAGGGUCAGGAAGAAAACUACACACUUCCAAGCCUGCUUCUGAGCUUCCAGAGAAGAAAUCCUGCAUUAGAAAGACCUGUGCUUUGAUCCAACACGGGUGUUAUUUCAUUCUGACAUCCGUUACACAUUUUAAGCAGAAAAAUUAAAUCCUAAUUCCGCAAAAGAACAGGAAUUACCUCUCUAAAAUUAUAAGCAUCUACCUUGGGCCAACUGUGGGGAGGAAGGUGUGGCAUAACUUAAACAGAUGUAAUAUUGUAUUGAUAUAGUGGGCAUGUCCCUGUGCAAUUAUGAUCCCAUCCAGGCAAACCGGAAAAACCAGGAAGUCCCUGGUUUUGUUCCUUUUCUUUGGAGAUCUAAGUGAUGUUUUCCUUGUCCCAAAGCCAUGAAAACUCCCAGCGAACUCCCGGAAUUAUUAAAACGUUCAGCUCCCAGAUCCUUAGUUUAUUUCAAUUAGCCCAAUAUUUCCUGAAAUGUACCUGGUUGCUUUGUGCAGGAUCCCUCCCUGGAGAAUGUCCUAAAGAAGAGGGAGAAGGUUUGAUUUCUGCUGUCCUGGAGACUAGAACCCAAUGGAACCAUGGUUUCAAAAAUUAGGAUGAACUUCUUGACCGUAAGAAGAGCUGUUUAACAGUGGAACUCUCUCAGUCUUGUGGAGGCUUUUAAAUAGAGGCUGGAUGGUCAUCUUUCGGUGGUGCUUUGAUUGUGCUUUUCCUGCAUGGCAGGAAGGGGUUGGACUGGAAUCCUUGGGGUCUCCUCCAGUUUUAGGACUCUAUGAGGCAGGAAGACUAUAGUCAGGACUUACUACUCCCUCUGCUAUACCCAAUACCAUCUUAUUUACAGGUACUUGUACUGCAUUACCCUAAAAUUCACAAAAAUAAAAAAUACUGCAUUUUUCAGAUCAAGGGAAUUGUGAAAGGACUUGAAUUAGAAAAAAGUUUCAGUGGAAAUGGGUGACAUUCAAUUUCUGAAGGGUUGCCAUGAGUCUGGAUGUGAUAAAUGAUCAGUGGAAGUGAAGAGAGGAACAGAAAGGAACGGAGAGACAAGGAAAAAGCUUGCAUACAAAACCACGAAGAUGCAAAAGAAAAAAAUACUUUCAGAUUUUUCUUCCUUUCUUUCUGGAAGAGCUCUAUGAGAAGCAUGUAUUAAUCUUGACAGGGAUAAAAAGGAAUGUCCACUCGCAGGCACCCUCUUUCACCCUUUCAGGAGACUCCCUCCCCCAUUUUUCCAGGAUAAAAGCUUCCCUUCGCUUUCUUUCGCAGGGCCUCUCUUAUUACAGGAAAAGCCAGAGCGCUGACUUCACCCGGGAGGAAUGGUGUUAACAUUUGGAUAAGCUUUAUUUUUCACUCUGGGAACAGAAAGUGAAAAGCAGCUGUGCUAAAAGCGUCCAGGAAAAACACUGGGCUCUGGGAAGAUCAUGCUAGAUCCCAGGCAAAAGGAAGCCAUUGUCUGAGAGAAGAUAAGCUUGGGAAACAAGUCAAAAAAAUCUUGCAAACAAAUGGUGGGAGUUCCUUUGGUGAUCUAGCCUUGAGAUUCCGGAAGAGGGAAGUUCAACAUUCUUGGAGAGUAUUGAUUCCUGUGCCAGGACCUUCCCUCGGUUAUUUUCCAGUAAAGUAAACCGUUUAAACCCAUCCCCACAGUUAGUUCCACAGAGAUUGUUUGAAUCGAUUGCGGAACUCAGUUGAGCAAAGCUUUCCACUUCCUCAAAGCAACACAGUUUUUUUUUUUUAGCUCUUGUUGAUUAUUUCACUAUUGGCUUUUCAGCCUGCUCUUCCUCAAAAACAAUACACAUGUACACAACUCCUUCCUUUCUCAGUUCAUGUGACUAACAAUCAGUGCUAAACAAUUAAAAAUGGGAACAAAAUAAUCUGCUAUGUGAAUGCGAGGCAAAACUUUUGUAUCUUAAUAUUGGAAAUACUGGAUUCAGAUACACAUGAUGCUAGAAGGUAUUGUAAAAGUUAUGAAUGACAAUGAAACUUGAAUUGCAUUUGUUGGGGAUGCUGGAUGGCCUAUUAGAAAAGAACUAUCGAAGAUUACAAUUACAAAUGAUUACAGCAAUGAACAUCCUCUCCACCCAGGGAUGAAAAGAACCAGAUAUACCAACACAAGAUUAGCUGAUGAAGAGAUGUGAAUUAAAAGAGAUGGACAAACUGAUGAUGUUGAUUAAUAUUAAGGAGAAAUAUACAACAAAGAUGGGUUAUAAAGUUCUCUGAUAUAGAAGUGUGUUAUUAAAAGUACAAAGGCAGAGAAAGUAAUUCCUGAGGACUGACAAAUAAGAAAUUUAAUCAAUAGGCAACGAGCAGGAGGCUGGUAAUUAGUUAAGUAGGUGUUUGUUCAGAAGGUGUAUCAGUUGUAUAAAGGUGUGCUUGUUACUCUUGUAUACAAUUAAAUUGGUUUUGCUUUUUA